CCGCAAGCAAGCCCUCCUCUUCGUCGGCGGCCGCCACCUCCACUCCCAAACUGCCGCGCCGCCGCUGUCCCGGCCAACUUCCUCCUCCCGAGGCGGCGGUCGCCACCCGGCGGGCGAUGCAGGCGAAGAAGCUGACGCUGCUGCAGACGGUAGCGGCCGCGGGAGUCUUCUCCGCCGUCUCCUGCUGGUAUGGCUUCAUGUUUGGAAGGGAGUCCGCGCGGCGAGAGCUUGGUGGCAUCAUAGACGACCUCCGCAAGUCCACCACCACCUCGACCACUUCCUCUGAACCCGAUGCUAAUUCCAAGCCAUAGUAUGAUCCAGGUCUGCAGUGCCAAGAACAAAAUUGUGUGUUCAUCAUAAUGAUCUGGUUGGCAAUUAGAAGUGUUUGCCAAGGAGAAGGAUUGUAAGAUGCAGCUAUACUUAUGUUUGGUGGGUUUUUGUUUUACUCAGGCCGCAUUUUGAAUUUAAAGAAAUGGAAGAUGAUGUCGCUGGAUUUGUGGCGAGAAUACCCGUUCUUUCCCUUAUUAACAAUAUAUUGCGCAGAUGUCUUCAGGUAUAGCAGAAUUGCUGAUAUGUGAUUAUUAGUUCAUUCACGUUGUUAGUUUAUUGAGUUCAUAUCA